rnacentral:rRNA from 1 species
CCUACGGGAGGCAGCAGUGAGGAAUAUUGGUCAAUGGACGAGAGUCUGAUCCAGCCAAGUAGCGUGAGGGAUGAAUGCCCUAUGGGUUGUAAACUUCUUUUAUAAAGGAAUAAAACGAGGCACGUGUGCCUUUUUGCAUGUACUUUAUGAAUAAGGAUCGGCUAACUACGUGCCAGCAGCCGCGGUAAUACGGAGGUGCCGAGCGUUAUCCGGAUGUAUUGGGUUUAAAGGGAGCGUAGAUGGGGUGUUAAGUCAGUUGUGAAAGUUUGCGGCUCAACCGUAAAAUUGCAAUUGAUACUGGCAGUCUUGAGUACAGUUGAGGUAGGCGGAAUUCGUGGUGUAGCGGUGAAAUGCGUAGAUAUCACGAAGAACCCCGAUGGCGAAGGCAGCUUACUAAACUGUGACUGACAUUGAUGCUCGAAAGUGUGGGUAUCAAACAGGAUUAGAUACCCGAGUAGUC